AUUAUAGUGGCGCACGGGUGAGUAAUACAUAGGAACGUACCUAUAGGUGGGGAAUAACCAUUGGAAACGAUGGCUAAUACCGCAUGAAGUCGCAAGACCAAAGAGGGCCUCUUCUUGAAAGCUCUCGCCUGUAGAUCGGCUUAUGUCCCAUUAGCUUGUUGGUGAGGUAAAGGCUCACCAAGGCAACGACGGGUAGCCGGCCUGAGAGGGCGACCGGCCACACUGGGACUGAGACACGGCCCAGACUCC
rnacentral:rRNA from 1 species